GAUGAACGCUGGCGGCGUGCCUAAUACAUGCAAGUCGAGCGAACGGACGCGAAUCUUGCGUCUCGGAUGUUAGCGGAGGGCGGGAGUGUAACGCGUGUAUACCCUACCUAUAAGACUGGGAUAACUUCGGGAAACCGGCGCUAAUACCGGAUAAUAUUUUGAACCGCAUGGUUGAAUAGUGAAAGUCGGUCUUUCUGUCACUUAUAGAUGCAUCCGCGCUGCAUUAGCUAGUUGGUAAGGUAAAGGCUUACCAAGGCGACGAUGCGUAGCCGACGUGAUAGGGUGAUAGGCGACACGGGAACGGAGCCAGGGUCCAGAGGACUGCGGGAGGCAGCAGUAGGGAAUCGUACGCAAUGGUCGAAAGCCUGACGGAGCAACGCCGCGUGAGAGAUGAAGGUCUUCGGAGCGUAAAACCCUGUUAUUAGGGAAGAACAGAUUUGUAAGGAGCCGUGCACAGCGUGACGGUACCGAAUCAGAAAGCCACGGCUAACUACGUG
rnacentral:rRNA from 1 species